rnacentral:rRNA from 1 species
AUACGGAGGAUCCGAGCGUUAAUCGGAAUUACUGGGCGUAAAGCGCACGCAGGCGGUUUGUUAAGUCAGAUGUGAAAUCCCCGGGCUCAACCUGGGAACUGCAUCUGAUACUGGCAAGCUUAAGUCUCGUAGCGGGGGGUAGAAUUCCAGGUGUAGCGGUGAAAUGCGUAGAGAUCUGGAGGAAUACCGGUGGCGAAGGCGGCCCCCUGGACGAAGACUGACGCUCAGGUGCGAAAGCGUGGGGAGCAAACAGGAUUAGAUCCCCUGGUAGUCCACGCCGUAAACGAUGUCGACUUGGAGGUUGUGCCCUUGAGGCGUGGCUUCCGGAGCUAACGCGUUAAGUCGACCGCCUGGGGAGUACGGCCGCAAGGUUAAAACUCAAAUGAAUUGGCGGGG